UACGUAGGUCCCGAGCGUUGUCCGGAUUUAUUGGGCGUAAAGCGAGCGCAGGUGGUUUAUUAAGUCUGGUGUAAAAGGCAGUGGCUCAACCAUUGUAUGCAUUGGAAACUGGUAGACUUGAGUACAGGAGAGGAGAGUGGAAUUCCAUGUGUAGCGGUGAAAUGCGUAGAUAUAUGGAGGAACACCGGUGGCGAAAGCGGCUCUCUGGCCUGUAACUGACACUGAGGCUCGAAAGCGUGGGGAGCAAAUAGG
rnacentral:rRNA from 1 species